CCUACGGGUGGCAGCAGUGGGGAAUAUUGGGCAAUGGGCGCAAGCCUGACCCAGCAACGCCGCGUGAAGGAAGAAGGCUUUCGGGUUGUAAAGUUCUUUUAUCAGGGACGAAGCAAGUGACGGGACCGGAUGAAUAAGCCACGGCUAACUACGUGCCAGCAGCCGCGGUAAUACGGAGGUGGCAAGCGUUAGCCGGAUUUACUGGGUGUAAAGGGCGUGUAGGCGGGAGUGCAAGUCAGUUGGGAAAACUAUGGGCUCAACCCAUAGCCUGCAUUUGAAACUGUACUUCUUGAGUGCUGGGGAGGCAAUCGGAAUUCCUUGUGUAGCGGUGAAAUGCGUAGAUAUCCGGAGGAACACCAGUGGCGACGGCGGCUUGCUAGACUGUAACUGACGCUGAGGCGCGAAAGCGUGGGGAGCAAACAGGAUUAGAUACCCGGGUAGUC
rnacentral:rRNA from 1 species